CGGUAGGGGGCGGGGCAUCACCGGCACCGCCCACUUAACCCCUCCGGGCCCGGCGCCGCCGCCCUCCCUGCCGCCCGGCUGAGCGCGCUGACUCGCGUCCCCUCGCGUGCUCUCGCCCCCGCGCUCCAGGCUGAGUCACCGCCGCCCGCCCGCGCCUGUUCCCUCUCUCCGCCCUUCCGGGGCUUCCUGCGGCCUCCCGCCGACGCCCGAGCCGGGGACACCGGGUGACAAGGGUCCUCUCCGAGGGGCGGCCCUGCCGUGCGCUGGGAUCGGGGGCCUCCAGGGCCUGCUCACCACCCACUCGGGCCCGGCUGCUGAACAAAACCCGGUGGUGGCGGAGGAAGCCACCCUUUUCGCGCCAGACUUCCCAACUGCUCCCGGGCGACUCGAUGAAACCUGAGUUUCUGCUAUUGGAUAGCACCCCCCAUGCCCCGUGGGCUUGGCGAAGACAUUCCAGACAGCAGCCUCAUUCCGGCCGCCCACGUGUGUCCCAGGGCAGGCCAGGCACACCAGGAGUUGCUGUCAUGUCUUGGUUCCAGCUCAGUCGGCACAGCCUUUGGAGAAGACAUCUUGGUUUUCUUCCAUCUCUGAGAUGCAAACUGUAGGCUUUCUCUUCUACUUGUGAAUCUCUCAUCAUCUUGCCGUGAGAAGGUACCUAGUCUAAAUGUCAGCAUGGGAAGCACAGGCCUAAGUCAGACAACAUUCAGGUACCCAGGCGGGCUGCCUGUUGCCCAUAGAUGGACUGUUCACACAGCUAUUAACGGCAGCAGCAGCAGCAUUCCUGGGCCCAGGAGCCCGGCCAAUAAGCUUACUUGCUCAGGCUUUGUGACAAGAAAGUCUAAGUAGCCAGGAAGUGGGAUGUUUGUAGGGAAAAGUACUACAGUCCCUCUGGGUCAGAACUCAUCCACCUGGUAUAAAUCAAGUCUUUUAAAUCAAUAAUGUUUCUGUAGUUAAGAACCGAGUCCAGUUUUAUGUAUUCCUAACAACAGGGGGUUAUUUAACUCAUGUUUCAGCCUUACUCUGAAGAAUAGUGAUGCAAUAUUCAUUGAAAUGGAAAGAUGUUCAUGUUAUAAUGUCCAGCAAACAAUCUGAUUACCCAUAGUAUGACCCCAUUUGUUAAUUAAUUAAUUUAUUUUUAUUUUGGCCACGCGGUGCACGCAGGAUCUUAGCACGCGGGAUCUUAGUUUCCUGACCAGGGAUCGAACCCGUGCCCCGUUUGUUGUAUGUGUUCGUAUGCCUACCAAAAAACUGUGAAGGUAACAUUUUCUCUAGGUGGCUAGGUUUGUUUUGCUGUUUUUGCGUGCCUGCAUUUUCUGUCUUUCUGUACUAAACAUAUAUAACCUGUGUAUUAAAGAAGUAUUAAAAGUUCAAAAUAAAAUUAAAAGUUCAUUUCUUGAGGAAAAAAA